GGCCCAAUAGCACAGUGGUUAGUGUGCCUGCUUCAAAUUCGCACGGUAAAUCGUUGAUUGUAAGCAGGAGGACCCUCGUUCGAUCCGAGGUUGGGUCA